AAUGAUUUAUAUUUUGUAUUAUUAUUUGUUAUAUGGAUUCUUUUCACCUUGUAUAUUAAAUCACUUUCGUUGACAGUUUGUGUCCCUGCAUUGUCU